rnacentral:lncRNA from 1 species
GGAGACAGUUAUGGGCGUGGCUAGAGCUGGAUGGAGGUUGAUUGACACUCCCCAACCCCCCACCUCCGAUCUCCAAGCGGAGUUUGUCGGCAGCAACAGGCACGCAUGGGGCCUGCUGGGACUCGUCUCCUGCUAUGCUUCAGCUCCUGCCCAAUCACUUACCUGUGCCAGGAGAAGCCUCUGGACAUGCCUGGGCAGCCUCUGGACAUGCACUGCUCCCAUUCCUCGCUGAGAGGGCAUCUCCCCGAGUGCCUCUCCAUCCCAGUAGACUCUCCAGAUGUGCCCAGUCCUCAACUGGUGUGGCCUCACCAGAGAGACUCAGACCAAACAGGCCUCCACAGCCUCUCUCUAGACACUUUCUGGGAAACCACAGUGGAAUACAAAAGGGCACCAACUGUUCUGAUCUCUUGAAGAGCUCCUCAGGCAACCUUCUGUUUCUAGCAAGAUGAUACACCCAAGCCUUGAUGACAAGGCUUGGCUCUCAACCUCCUUGCUCCCCACCUCCUGUGAAAUACACAAAGAAAUUCAGUGAUCAUCGGGGAUGCUCUGGUCCAAACACUACCUGCCAGCCAGACGCAGGAGAUGGAUGGCUCAGCAGUAAUCGUGCUGCUUGAGCUUGGUGUCUAAUGGGGACAGUAGUGACAGGAAGUUCACAGGGACUGGAAGACAUGAGUUCUCUGAGGGAAAGGAAGGUGAAGCCUGGUGCUUAGGACCCUCAGGAGACCAUAGGAUGUGAGAAGGCUCAAGACACCCAGAGGUGGGGUCAGAAACAGGGCAAAGGAGACCAAGCAUGGGAGAGCUGCAGUGGACGUGUACAGACAGGAGAAGCAGGCCCUAAAGAAUCCCUGAGGCGGCAGAGAGGCUGGGCUGUGGAACUUUUUAAUUACUUUGCAUUAGGGGACUGUAGAGACCCAGAAGCCCACCCUUCCCCUCCCCUCAUCAGCUUAGCCCCAACAUAUGGUGGCUACCAAAGUAGUUAAAUCGGCUCUUGGUAGAAAAGGAAAGAGAUUCCUCCCAGGCUCUUCCCAGGGUCCACGGCCACACUCCAGGAGGGCUCAACUCCAGGGCAAGGCAGCUGGGACAGCAGGCAGCUGAAGGAGGACUAUUACUGCACCUUAGGGAAGAGUGCAGUGGCGAGUGGGGAGGACUCUGCUGGGACCCGGGGGUCAUGUGCAUUCCCAUUUAGUUGAGCUCUGCUUAAUCCGGGCCUAGGCUCACAGUAAUGGGGAACGAGGAGAGGCUCCCAUCAGAGACCAAGAAGAUGACAGACUCUCUGUAAAGGCUGUCAGAGGGGUCUGCAUGACCAACCACACCUGCUCCUGUUCCUUUGGGGCUCUUGUGACCUCCCUGUCUUCUUGUGAGAUCUUAUGUUCCUCCAACCCUGAGAGCUACAAACCAAUCUCCGGAAUAAAAAAAUCUGUCCC